AGGGUAAACGCUGGCGGCGUGCCUAAAACAUGCAAGUCGAACGCACAUCCUUCGGGGUGUGAGUGGCAGACGGCUGAGUAACGCGUGGGUGACGUACCUAUUUGUGGGGAAUAACUGCCCGAAAGGGUGGCUAAUACCGCAUACGCCCGUUGAUUCGUAUUGAUGGGGAAAGCCGCAAGGCGCAGAUGGAGCGGCCCGCGUCCGAUUAGCUGGUUGGUGGGGUAACGGCCUACCAAGGCGACGAUCGGUAGCUGGUCUCAGAGGAUGAUCAGCCAGACUGGGACUGAGACACGGCCCAGACUCCUACGGGAGGCAGCAGUUAGGAAUUUUGGGCAAUGGGCGCAAGCCUGACCCAGCAACGCCGCGUGGGUGACGAAGGCCUUCGGGUUGUAAAGCCCUUUUCUGAGGGAAGAUGAUGACGGUACCUCAGGAAGAAGCACCGGCUAACUACGUGCCAGCAGCCGC
rnacentral:rRNA from 1 species